AACGUUGUAUGUAGCUGGUUGACUUCGGGUCAAAUCGAUUAAUUGUUAAGCAUUUGGUCCCCUUCAACCAGCUGUUUUACAGCGUUCCA
rnacentral:pre_miRNA from 1 species